AGGAUUUUUGAGGGGAGUCGUCCCUAGUACGAGAGGACCAGGACGAACGAACCGCCAGUAUACGAGUUAUCACGCCAGUGGUAGACGCUCGGUAGCUGUGUUCGGAGUGGAUAAGUGCUGAAAGCAUAUAAGUACGAAGCCCACCCCAAGAUGAGAAAUCCCAUACCCCAAGGUAGUAAGGACCCCGGAAGACCACCGGGUUGAUAGGAAGCAGGUAGAAGCACCUCGAAAGAUCAGUGUGUAGCCAAGCUUUACUAAUAGUCCGAGGGCUUGUCCAU
rnacentral:rRNA from 1 species